AGUGGGUGAAGGGCUUGCUACGUAAGAGUGAGACCUAGAGCUUGGAUCCCCAGCUCCUACAUCAAUGCUGGGUAGGCAUGACAGCCCGGCCUGUGAUCCCAGUACACAAGAGGAGGAACAGGGAAUCCCCCAGGGCAAGUUGGCUAUGAGAGCUCCAGGCUCACUUGGGACCCUGCCUCGAUAGAAGGUGGAGAUCGCUUGAGGGAGAAGUCAGUUGUCAACCCUGGCCCUUUAUACUCAUGGCAGGCAUGUGCAUAUGUGCUCGGACACACAUGCAUGCCCGUACAUACACAAACACACACAUACUUACAUAUGAAUACACAGACAUACAUGUUACAAAAAACAGAAACGGGAUCACGAUCUGAUGCUUGGCAGUGCCUAGUGCUCUCUCUCCAGGGAAGCACCUUGGGAACGCUACAGAACCAAAACAAAUGUUUCUUGAACUGGGUGUGGAGGUUGGCCCUGUAAACGCAGAAUCUGCAUUGUUGUGAGUUCUAAACCAGCCUUGGCUACAAAGUAAGACCUGUCUCAAAAAACAAAAAGUUUCCAGGCUGGGGAGUCAGCUCAGUAGGACUCGCCUAGUGCCCUCGUUUGUGCCCCAGCACCACAUGACCUGGGUGCAGUGGAACAUGCCUGUAAGCCCAGCACUUGGAAGGUCGAGGCAGGAAGCUUAGGAGUUCAAGGACAUCCCUGCCUGUCUACACAAAAUACUGGUUAGAAUACCACACUGGGACUGGACAGAGACUAAGUAACUGGCGGCGGCAGGACGGCAGCCAAGGGGCUUUCUAUAACACAGCUUUGUUGCAGCCACCGGUCCAAGCCUGCACAGCAGAGCCCACCACAUGCCUCAGGGCUGUCCAAAGCACUGCCUUUCAAAACCAAGAACCGAACUAAAAUGAACGGAGCGGCCCACGAGCACCACGCCCUGCAUCCUGCCAGCUUGCACAAGCAUCCUCUCUUCCAUCUCCCCUAGAAAUGCCAACUCUUCCACCCGGCCCUCAGAAAACAAACUCAGGGAAGAGAGCAAGCCUCCAGCCGACCGAUGACACCCCCAUUCACCGUGUCUGCCCAUCUCCGUGAGGAUCUGACUUUUUAUCUCUUUUCGAGACAGGGUUUUAUGUAGCCCAGGCUAGCUCCUAACUCACUAUGUAGUUAAGGAUGGCUUUGAACUUCUGAUCCUCCUGACUGCCGGGAUUACAGGUGUGUGCCAGCAUGCCUGGUUUAUAUGGUGCUGAGGAUAGACCCGGUCAUACCAGGUAAGCACUCUACCCACUGAGCCACACUACCAACCCUGAAUCCUGUCUUACCUUUCUCAGAGCAACUUUUCCAUAUGCAAAUUUGGGUGUAGACGGAGGGAUAGGGCCUUCUGGGACUUCUUUAAACUAUAAAA